rnacentral:rRNA from 1 species
UUCCAGACUCCUACGGGAGGCAGCAGUGGGGAAUAUUGCACAAUGGGGGGAACCCUGAUGCAGCGACGCCGCGUGAGUGAAGAAGUAUUUCGGUAUGUAAAGCUCUAUCAGCAGGGAAGAAAAUGACGGUACCUGACUAAGAAGCCCCGGCUAACUACGUGCCAGCAGCCGCGGUAAUACGUAGGGGGCAAGCGUUAUCCGGAUUUACUGGGUGUAAAGGGAGCGUAGACGGCGAUGCAAGUCAGAAGUGAAAGCCCGCGGCUCAACUGCGGGACUGCUUUUGAAACUGUAUAGCUUGAGUGCAGGAGAGGUAAGCGGAAUUCCUAGUGUAGCGGUGAAAUGCGUAGAUAUUAGGAGGAACACCAGUGGCGAAGGCGGCCUGCUGGACGAUGACUGACGUUGAGGCUCGAAAGCGUGGGGAGCAAACAGGAUUAGAUACCCUCGUA